AAAGUCGUAACAAGGUUUCCGUAGGUGAACCUGCGGAAGGAUCAUUACUGAAGUGAUUUGGGGAUGUUGCUGGCCUCUUCUCAGAGGCAAUGUGCACUCCCUGAACAACUCACAAUUUCCAUCACACCCUUGUGCACAUCUUGUAGGUGCCCUCUCCCAGGCAUCCUAUGUAUUCCUUCAUCUCACACUUUUUGAAUGGUGCUCUUGAACGCAUCUUAUGGAUUAUUUGUAAAAAAGUAAUCACAGAAACAACUUUCAACAAUGGAUCUCUUGGCUCUC
rnacentral:misc_RNA from 1 species